CCUACGGGAGGCUGCAGUGGGGAAUAGUGCACAAUGGGGGAAACCCUGAUGCAGCGACGCCGCGUGAGUGAAGAAGUAAUUCGUUAUGUAAAGCUCUAUCAGCAGGGAAGAAAAUGACGGUACCUGAGGAAGAAGCCCCGGCUAACUACGUGCCAGCAGCCGCGGUAAUACGCAGGGGGCAAGCGUUAUCCGGAGUUACUGGGUGUAAAGGGCGCGUAGACGGCAGUGCAAGUCUGGAGUGAAAGGCGGGGGCUCCACCCCCGGACUGCUCUGGAAACUGUACGGCUGGAGUGCAGGAGAGGUCCGUGGAUUUCCUCUUGUUGCGGUUACAUGCGUAGUUCUUAGG
rnacentral:rRNA from 1 species